UCCGAGUUAUCCCCGGCAGUCUCACUAGAGUGCCCAUCCGAAAUGCUGGCAACUAAUGACAAGGGUUGCGCUCGUUGCGGGACUUAACCCAACAUCUCACGACACGAGCUGACGACAACCAUGCACCACCUGUCACCUCUGCUCCGAAGAGAAUACCCCGUUACGGGUACGUCAGAGGGAUGUCAAGUCCUGGUAAGGUUCUUCGCGUUGCUUCGAAUUAAACCACAUGCUCCGCUGCUUGUGCGGGUCCCCGUCAAUUCCUUUGAGUUUCACACUUGCGUGCGUACUCCCCAGGCGGAGCACUUAAUGCGUUAGCUGCGGCACCGAAGUCUCGCGACCCCGACACCUAGUGCUCAUCGUUUACGGCGUGGACUAC
rnacentral:misc_RNA from 1 species